rnacentral:lncRNA from 1 species
AAUUAUGUGUCUGUCUCCCCAACUGGACUGAUUGCUCCACCAAAGGAAGAAGAGCUGCCAGGUCCUGGGAGAACAAGAACAGUGCUUUCUCCAAAUUUUAACAGGAGUACACGGUGGGAGUGAGAGCUAGUUUUCCUGUAGUAGAAGCUGAAGACAGAGUAAAAAUAAUUAACUCAUGGGAAAAAUAAAUAAACAAACAAUUGGACUCAGCCAGAGGAAAAAGAUAGUUAAAACCAAAACAUGUAACGCAACCUAGAACAGUCUGUGUAAUCUAGCCUCUGCUGUCAACUUAAUCUACCAUCACGUGCCCCAUUAUUCACGGGGCUCCACCUUGUAUUCCAGUUGUUCCUCUCUGGAACAUUUUAUGUCUUUUCUCUCUGAGGGACUCAGCUCUUGGUAUUUGCCUUGCUCAGAAAUCUCUUCCAUAGAUCUUCACAAUGGCCGGCUUGUCUUAGGUCUUAGUUCAAAUAUCACCCGCUCAGAGAGACCUUGCCUGACUUCCACUAUAUACAUGGAGGGUUUCCAGAACAAAUGAAGGUAUUGAACAAAUGAGCUCCAUAAAAAUGGAAACAGGGUGCUCUGCUUGGUUUUUCAGAAAAAUGGAAAUAGCGGCCUCACACAUAGAGUUGACAUUCCUGAGAUUAUCCAGUAGAUCUGGACUCUGGAGCUCUGAGUCUAAAUGUACUGCUAUCCAGACAGAGUCUGCAGAGGGACCUCUUGUCAUUAACUACUGUGCACCUACAAUUUGUUAUCAAUGAAAUGUGUGUAGCUUUUAUUUCAUGGCCUUGGGAAGCAUCCUUAAAUCUUUUAUCCUUUAGUUUCUUCAUCUGAGGUUAACAAUAUAUGUAUUUUGAAAGGCUAUAGAAACUGGGAAGAAACAUUUGCAACUUAUAGCACAAAGAGUUAAUAACCAUAAUAUGUAAAGAGCUUCAAAAAAUAUAGAAGAAAAAAGCCAACACAUCUAUGAAAAAUGGGUUGGAAAUAUGAGCAGAGAGUUCACAGAAAAAGAAAGGAAAAUGGAUCCUGCAUAUAUGAAAAGACUCUCAACCAUACUUUCAGUGAAUACACUUUCAAACUUCAUUGAGAUACAAUAUUCUCUCCUGUCAGGCUGACAAAAAUCUAAAAGAUUGACAGCAUAUUUUGUUGGUGAGGCUGUGGUGAAAUAGAUGCUUCCAUACAUUGCUAGUGGGAAUGUAAAAUGGCAUAAGCCUCAUGAAUGGGAAUUUGAUAUAUCUAGUAAAAUUACAUAUGCAUUUUCCCUUUGAUCCAGUAAUCCAACUUCUAGGAAUCUAUCCAAAAAUAUGUUGUAAAACUACACAAAUACUUUUAUAUGUGACUAUACAUUGCAGCAUUGUUUAUAAUAGCAAAAGCUUGGAAAUUGGUUGAAUAAGGCAAUGGAAGGUCCACUCAGUGGAAUACUAUGCAGCUAUAAACAACAAGAAGACGACCUCUGUAUUAGUCUGCUUUCAUGCUGCUGAUAAAGACAGAUUUGAGACUGGGCAAUUUAUAAAAGAGGUAUAUAAUGGACUUACAGUUCCACAUGGCUGGGGAAGCCUCACAAUCAUGGUGGAAGGUGAAAGGCACAUCUCACAUGGCAUCAGACAAGAGAAGAGAGCUUGUUCAGGGAAACUCCCCUUUUUAAAACCAUCAGAUCUUGUGAGACUCAUUCGCUGUCACGAGAAUAGCAUGGGAAACACCCGUCCCCGUAAUUCAAUCACCUCCCACGACAUGUGGAAAUUAUGGAAGUUUCAAUUCCAGAUGAGAUUUGGGUGGGGACACAGCCAAACCAUAUCAACCUCUAUACAUUGCCAUGAAGCGAUGACCCCAAUAACAUGUUCAGUGAGGAGAAUUCUUGGCCCUUGUGUAUUUUUUUUUUCUUUAAGUAAUCUGCAUUGAACAAGUCUUAAAUUUACAGUUAGAAAAAUCAAUAGUAUAUUUUGUUUUAUUUUGAAUUACCCAGAAGCUCAUGAACUUUCUGACCAAAAUCCUUUCCCAGAAAGUUUGUCAGUUGAGAACCUGUGAAGUCCAAUUCAUUUAUAUGUUAAGAUUUGUGCUAUGGGAUGUUGACAGCCUGGUGAAAUUGACCCAGCCUGGCAUGAUCCUGGAGUCUAUUUGAAAGGUGCAGGUUCAGAAAGCAGAGUGCUUCACAGGCUGCCACAUUCCUCUGAAGAUAAUCUGCAGGUUGUACCUGCUGCCACUAGGCUGUUAGGCUGCCUAGGGGAUGGUUGCUGGCUGGAUUAACCAGAUUUGCCAUUGGCAGGUGGGAGAUUUGCACCCCCAGAAUUAGGCUUGCUACUCCAUUAAGCUUUUGACCACCUAAUUUAAACCAUAUUAUUAUUUUCUAAAUAGGCAACACAUUUACAUUUUAAAAUGCAAAGAGUACAAAAAGAUAGGCCAUGAAAUGUCUUUCUGACCUGGUUCCCCAGGCAUGAAGUUUCCCUCCCAAAGGCAACUAAUCUGAUAGGAGAAUGAGGAAAGGAAGAGGAAGAAAGUCAAUAAGGCCAAUAUUGGGAAGGUUACACUUGAGGAGACCUGGGGCUCAAACCUUCUAGGGCACUGGGAGCCAGUGUAAAAUUUAUCCUGUCUUGUGGAUUUUAGAUAAUCUGUGUGUAUAGGGGAGAUAUUUUAUACAGCAGCAGCAGGCUAUCCACAUUGUGCCAUACCUCGCUUUUGUGUGACUUAAUAUCUCUUGGUAAUUGUUCCAUGUCAGUGCCCAAAAAGCUUCCUCAUUCUUUUUUUUGCAACUGUUCAGUUAUCUAUUUAUGGUUACAUCAUAUUAUAUUUAACCCAUUCUUUACUGGUGUCUGCUCCCAUUUGUUGUUCCAUUUUGAGCACCAGAUUUUAAAACUCAUUCCUAUAGGACACACAAAGGAUUUUAUUUCCUAGGAAGAGCUCCAUGGCUCCCUGACUUGCUCAACUGUUUUAAACCCCCACCCCACAUGGAAUAAGCACACUUCACCAUUCUCUCACAACAACAAUUAAGUCAACUUAUCUUUGAAUAAGUAGCUGGGGGUGGCGGGGACACACCCCUGAAGUGUGGGUUUAGGUUUGUUUGAUUGGG